rnacentral:lncRNA from 1 species
ACAGAUUUCCUCCCUCUCUAAAUUCCAAUUACAAUCAUAUACCCUCAUCCUCUCCAUCAUUUUAUUUUUCUCCCUCCCUUUCUCGCACUUUCACCUUUUCGUAACACCCUUAACCACCUACAUUGUACCACCUAUACCCCUUCUUCGUCGUGUUAAAUCCCUAUGAGAAAAUUGGGUUAGUAGAUGAAUACGAUAUUAUAAGAUGUACCAGAAAUGGAAGAAUUUACAUUUUAG